rnacentral:rRNA from 1 species
GAUCCUGGCUCAGAACGAACGCUGGCGGCAGGCUUAACACAUGCAAGUUGAACGGGAUUGUUAAGUAGCUUGCUAUUUAACAAGAGAGUAGCGCACUGGUGAGUAACACGUGGGAACGUACCUUUUGGUGGGGGACAACAUCUGGAAACGGAUGCUAAUACCGCAUAAGACCUGAGGGUGAAAGAUUUAUCGCCGAAAGAACGGCCCGCGGAAGAUUAGGCAGUUGGUGGGGUAAAGGCCUACCAAACCUACGAUCUAUAG